UCUUUGUUGGCUGUGGGAUCUUCUGGAAACAAAGCACAGAGCAAGGCUGAAGGAGCAAGACCUCCACAGUGCAGCUAAACAGCCAAAUGAGUCUCCCGCAAGUCAGGAAAACUGGAUAAAAAGAGGCCUAAAUGUGAGCAAGAGCUAUCAUGUUUGGCUUCAAGUAUUGUCUACUAUGUGCCGAGGAUAUAGAGGAACAAAACAGACCCGUCUCAUUCUCGUGGUGGAGUUGGGAUGAUGGAGCUAAUACAAUGACCCCUACCUUCAAAAACUCAGUGCUGCUCCCCUGGAUAGAGAUCCGCUACAUCCUACCUUCUCUGUGACGACUUUGAAAAGUGUCCAUGAAUUCUUUGACACUCUUUUCAAAAGGUGGAGCCUAAUUUCCCGUCCCUUAAGUGUGGACUGAUGAUUUGCUUCUAAAGAACAGAAUAAGGUGGAAUGGAUGGGUCUUGCUGUAUUGCCCAGGCUGGAGCGCAAUGGAG
rnacentral:lncRNA from 1 species